AUUCCACAUCUCGCACUACUCUAUCGCGCGCUACUUCUUCGUAUCUUUCUGAUCUGUAUUUCAGUGAUGAGCG